CUCGCGAUCUUGUGUCUUGAUGUAGGAAUUUAUAUUUGAUUGAAACGUACAAAAAGGAAGCAAGAAAAAAUAUAUAUAUAAAAAAAAUGAACAGUUAAAAACUGUUCAGUACAGUAAAUUAUACAGUGCUUCAGUUUUUUUUUUCCAACUUUUUUUCCUCAAUCUUUUACUUCUGUUGUCAUUCGAUUAUUAAUUUGAUUUAAUUGCUAUUUUUCUUAUUUACUAUGUAGGUGUGCAUAUAUAUCUACAUAUAUACAUAAGAAUUAUGUGUUCGUUGGAAAGCAUUUUUCUGUAUAGGAUUGUUGACAUUGAUGGUGAUCGUGUUAUGUAUAAUCAUUGUUCCUAAUACCGCUACCAUAUACAUAUAUAUAUAUACAUAUGUAUGUAUAUAAUCGUGUAUUAGUUUGAUCUUCGUAAUGUUUAGGGGUUGCGCUGAUGCUGACUGUCGCUGUGUUUCACACCUGUGUAUUAAUUACUUUACGUACUACUCCAACUGCCACUACCAUAUUACUACUUCUUCUAGUAUCACGUCUGUACUGAUUUACUCAUUCCCAAGCUUUACUCAACUUGUUUCACUUCUACUAUCCUAUACGUAUUCACAUUGAUACAUAAAAACAAGAACAAAAUUAUUGGAUUUAUAACAAUUCAUGAACAGACAGAAUCAUAACUUGCUCUCUUUGAACUCAAUUGUUUACAAUCAAAGAACGAUUUCUUAUUCCCACGUUCUGGUAACACAAGCAUUUUGCUUUUUUUUUCCCAUCGCCUACAACAAUGACAAGCCGUAUACGUAUAAAUACUCUGACUUGAAUGGUAUACGUAAUAGGUAUGUGUCUGUCUAUAAGUGUCGUGUAUUUGUGUAUGCUGGACAUAAGUAUGUGAUACCUUCUAAUUUUUUCCGUGAACUUGGUCCCAUGUGAUGAUAAUACGCCUGGACCACGAUCUUCAAACUUCUGAAAUCACAUAAUACAAUAACUCCGGAGUCUUGUUAAAUUCUCCGAUAUCGUACGAUAAGGCGAUAGAUCAGAAAAGAACGCCUGAAACGUAUAUUCGUUUUCUUUUUUGUCUGCAGCCCCGAUUUUUCCCCCCUACGAGGAAGUAUUUCAACAGUUUUUUUACAAUAAUACAGAACGGCUGGUGCUUUAUUGUGUUUCCAUGUAUACCAUAUAUUUACCACAUAUCUACACACGCAAUGUAGACUCGCUGCUUAAAUAUCUGCCAGACGAUACUUCGACGAGGCCCAUUUGGAUUGGCAAUCCUGGGGGCGCUACCAGUGGCCCCAGGGUUGCCAAUCCAAACGGGCCUAGGUCGAAGUGUCAUCUGAAAAGAAUUUCCGUAACGGGUGUACACCCAGUAAUCUAUCACAGGGAGUCGAUUAUGUAAUUUCAAUUUUUACAUCUCCAACCAUCUAAGCAUUCUGAUUGGUUUGCAAAGUUUAGUCAACCAAUCGGAAUGCUUGGAUGGUGAGAAAUGUGAAAAGUGAAAUUACAUAAUCGAACCCCAGGUUCGCCACCGUAAGAAUAUUACACCUGUGACGUCUAAUAUUGUUACAAGUUUUAACAAUUUUCUAUAGUUAUGUUAUAACUUUGGAAUAACUAAUUAGCCGUACAAUUGUUUCGUCUACAGUUUGCCAAAUACACACACACUCACAUAAACACAAAUACACCGCAUAGACAAGAUACCUCUGCAUGAUCUUUCUCUACAACAGAAAAACAAACAAACAAAAAAACAUACAAACACUUCCUCGAAUACAAUUACAAUCAUUCUUCAAUAUUCUCAAUUUUUAUUCAAUCGAAUUUUUCAAGCAAAUUGUUACAUAACCUGCUAUUCAUAAUUUAUUAGAUAUAAAUCUUUUUACAUCGUACUUUUUAUACUAUCUUAUAUAAACCAAAUAAUCUCAAGCUGGAAUGAUUUCUGCGCGUGCGCCUUUUGCAUGGCUUGCUUAGUAACAUUUACAUAACAUGGAUUUUUCCGACUGGCGUAAUUGUCCACUACCUUCAUUCCGUUACUGUCAUCAUUAUUUUUAUUAUACUAAUGUAAUUUGUUCUUUAUAUUUGCAUUUCAUUACUUUUUUUAUUCUCUACUUUAAAGCAAACGGAUAUUGUUAUGCUUAUUGUCCAUUCUUGAAAACUGCAUGGCCUGAUAAUCGGAAUAUAGCUUUGAUUAUGUGCAAUAUCCUUUUUGAGGAUUCUGAAUUGUUCGAAAAUGAGUAUUAAUAUUUAAAAAGGUAGAAAAUUUCUAAUUUAUGAUGCAAUUUUGUCAAGACUGUUAGAUUAAAACAAUCAACAUUUUUCUGAGGGCGAACAAUGUCAGUGCCAUUUUCAUUUAUUUUAUCGGUAGUGCAAAUUCUAUACAACUUCGUUUUACAAUCUCUACAACUUUUUUCCUUCCAAACUGUAUGAUUCUGCAGAGACUAUAAUUGAUUAAAUAAAAUAUUUAUACGCCGUCUUUGCGACAGUUUUCAAUUUAUCAGGAUUAAUUGUAACUUAUAUACAGUGAUAAUAAUUUAACGAUGUGAAAAUCUUUGUAUCAUUCGUAUAUAAUGUACCAAAUUUAUACAAACGAGGUUAAUUUAUAGCUAGUUAAAAUUGAUAUUUGUUAAAGCAUGGCAAAUUAUUUGCAUGUUUAGAACACUAAUAAUUAUACUAUUGAUUAUAGUAACACGCACGAAAUAGAAUCUGAUUGUGAGACUAAAUAUUGAAUCUAUGAAGAACUAUAAUCCAAAAUACUUAUAAUCAAUUGCCUAAGCUGCCAUGAUUAAUAUAUGUUAUAUAAAUUUGCAUGCCUUGUUUUUGAGACAAACAAAGAACAGAGAAAAAAGAAUCGAGCACCACGGGUGGAAGCGAUUCACAAAAAUAAUUUUGAUACGCCAAAUACUGUUCAGGCGUCAACAGACAUCGCUGGUCGCAAUUGAUAUGAUAUAAUUUAAGUCCAAACCAAUUAAAGGAAAAAAAAAAUUAAAAAACAAAAAAAAAAACAAACAUGAACAAGAAGAAAUUGAUUUUAUUCAGGUAAACCAAGGUAUAAUAUAUACAUCAUUAGCAUACCAUGUAAUGGCUAUACGUUCUUCGGUAUUUGACACAUUUCAACUAAAUAAAGAUUUUCUAUAAUAAUUAAAAGUCAGGAUUUUUAUCGUAAAUAUAUUAUGCGAUGGGUAUAUAAUCGAGAAGAAGGUUUGAAAAAUAGAGGGGAAAAAAAUAAAUAUGAGAGGAAAAAGUUGUGCGAGCGUAGUUACCAAUGUAGAGCUGAAAAAAUCGUAAUCGUAUCCAUGUAUGUAUUGAAAAAUAUUGGUAACAAUUGGGAUUAAGAAAAAACCGAUGCAAAGAAAUUAAUAUUGAAUUAAAAACUGAAACGAUGAUGUCGAUCUGAUGUAUUAAUGAUUAUUCUUCUUCAAACUUCACUAUACAAUUUUUCUCUAUGUUCUUCUGUUUUUUUUUUUUUGCUUGUUCUUUGGUAGCAUCUAAAAAUCGAGCUAAAUAAUGAACAAGCCAGUAAAUUGUACACAUACGAAUAAAAAAAUUGUACAUGCAUAGGAAUUAUAUUGAGAAAGAAAUGAAACAAUAAUGCGACGAAUAUUAUAUACCCUACAUAUAUUAUAUAUACAUAUACGAGUAUAGUUAUUACAUGUAACGUUUACAUCGGCGUGUGGUUCAGAUAAUAUGACAGUAGCAGAUUUUCAAAACGAAAACUAUAUAUAUAUAUAUCUAUAUAUAUAUAAUGAAAUCGUAGCUUAUAGAUAAAGAAAGAAAAUACACUAUUAUAUUAUAGGUAUAUAGAUUACUGCAAUCCUUGUGUGAUUAUUUAUUAACAAAUUAGAUAAUUGUCAUUGCGUAUCGAUCGAUAACAUAAUGGUAAUAGUAACGAUCGUAACAAUGUAAUAUGCAUACCGGGCCAUUACCUGAUGCGCAACAUAAGGAUCCUUAAUUAUAGGCAAUCCAUGUUACACAUACACUCUGAACAGAGCUGCGAGUUUCAAUUGUUUGGAUUGAAGCCGCUAGCGCGCAGCGACGUCGCGUCGCCCCGGCGAAACUCGGAACUGCUCCGAGUUCUUAUCAUGCGCAUCCAUAUAUUGUUCCGGUAUAUGCAUGGUGGAAGGAAUCAAGAUGUUGUGCUCUACUCCCACGGUAAUUAGUUCACGUGAUACCUCCCCCCCACAUGACGUCGCGAAAAUUACAGUUAAAUAUAAACGACGUCAUGUGGGGGCACUUUCUCAAUGGCCGAAGCGACAGUGAUACGCAAGAACACACCUUGUUUCCUUACACCAUAGGUACAUCGACGACAGGAGGAUGUCACUGUUGAAGAGGAUUCAAUUUGUUUGAACGAAUUUGUUGUAUUUUUUUAUAUUUCAUCGGUUAGCGUUGAAAGAUCGACAAUGUUUUUUUGAAAAGUUAAUUCAAUUCCGUUGUCUAUCGAAUUAAAAUGUUCUAGAGAUGGUAAAAUAUUCAGAAUAUAUACUGGGACCAGGUCUGAAUGAAAUCCAAAAACAAUCUCUAAAUGCAAUUCAAAAACUAGGAAAACUGGUCUUGCUUAGUUUUAAUAUUUAUAAUGCGUUGUAUGAUAGCACCAGUAGAAUAAAUUUCAUUCUUUCGUUCUAUAUAUAUUUCAUAUAUAUCAACGAAAGAAUGACUAAUGGAUUCAAAGUUACGAUUAUUUGAACAAUCAUAUACACGUUUAUAGUUGAAAAGAUCCAGAAUUUGGAAACAAAACGAAGAGAAAUUAAGAAAUAAACUUAUGUAGUAUAAUCUCGACCCGAUAAGAGUCGAGCUGUGUCGUACAAUAUGUUUAUAAUAUAUAUAUACAUACAUAUACGUUUAAUAUAUUAUAAAAUAUAUUAUUAUAAUACGUUAGCAAACAUAGGAUUUGUUUUCCUUUUUCUGUUUUAGAGCGCAUAUUAAACCGUUGCCAUGAUUUGUACGUCUGCAUGUGUGUCUAAAAUCGGGAUUCAGUUAUAAAAUUCGAUAUAAUUGCAGUAAGGCAUAUAUUAUAAGCUGCAGUCGCUUUUCCAUGAACAUAUGAUAGCUAUAAAUAAAACGACUUGUGUGAUAUACAUAAUAUUAUACAUGAUGUAAAAGAAAGGAAGAAAAAAAAAAGGAAAUUAUCACGAGGUGUUAGUACAUGUUUAUUAUAAUUAUUAAUUAUAUCUGUAAACCGUUAGUUACAUGUAUACGGACUCACGUAUAUACCUGAUUUAUUAUUAGUAUAUUAUUAUUCACAUUACGGUGGUCGUUAUUUAGCUUGUUUUCGAAAUUACGUGUGAACAAGGCGGAAAAAGUUAUAAAAAAUUUUUUUUUUCAAACUAUGUGCAGCCUGUCCCUAUGUGCAACUGCCCUGUUGAGCCUGUCGGUCAAGUCAAAAUAUUGCUUUUAAGGCAGUGAAUUUUUCAACGUAAUUUAAAUGAGAACUGCGGCUCACUGCAUUCUUUUUUUUCCCAUCUUAAUAAUGCUUGGAAAAAUCUGCAAUUUGGUAUCCGUCUUUCCUAUAGUCAUAAGUGUUUGAAAAAAAAAUUGGGCGAUUUUCAGCGACAAAAGUUUCGAAAUCCCAACACGUCAAGGUUGUGUUUCAAAGUCAAAAAUCACAAUUUAACGACAUAAAUGGGGUAAUAAUUAAUUUAUUACUCAAUUUAAUACUUAAUUAAUAAAUAAACACGUGCCUCUAAGCUCCGAAAGUUUGAAAUGUAAAAUACAUAGUUUUUAUAACCAGUUAUAUUUUUUUAUAUGACUUUGACAUGAAUUAAGGACCGAUUUGAAACUUGGCAGAGUUAUUACUUGUACUGAUAGGAACAAACCGUGAAAACUAAAAAAAUUUAUCAUAAUUUUAUAAUCUACUCAUUUUUUUUUUAUAUAAGCUUAAUAUAGCAUCACUUUUAUUAGGCUUAUAUAUAAGCGAAAAAUAAUGGCAAAAUUUAAAAAAUUUCAGGGUUCAUUCCUAUCAUUAUAAACAACAACUCUGCCAAGUUUCAAAUUGGACCCUUAAUUUAUACCAAAAUCAUACAAAACGAAAUAACUGGUUAUAACAACUACAUGUAUUUUACAUUUGGCAUAUGUUCCAGUUGACGUAGAGAAUUAAAACUUUGCAGAUUUUUUAAUGAUUUGGGGACGUCCCAAUGAAAAUUUUUCCGACCCCCUAAAUAAGGACCACCCUAGUGUACACGCAUGUUUAUAGAACAAAAAUAAUAGUAAUAUCAAUAUGGCUGCUUUCAACAUUUUACAGUAUAUAUAUAUACGUGUAUAAAUCAAAUAUGAACUACAGUAUAAUAACGUAUAAUGACAACAGCUGGAACAUUUGAGAUACGUAGGUAAUACAUUAAUGUAUAAAUUAUACGUAACGAUCGAACGUCAGAAUCUUUUCAAACAUUAUUAUUAUACUGUACACAGCUCUAUUGCAGUCUUCAUAGAAUAUAUUAUUGCGAAGUAAGUUAA